UCAGAAAUUCAAGUUCUGAUGAGUCGACACGUGUCACUACUGAACGAGAACUCAUCCGUGUUUCUGAUGGAAUUUUCUACGCAUAUGUAUUAUGUGGGUUUGCAAAUAUUAAAUUGGGCUGAAACCUUAAUGAGUAUUGAUUCUUUAUAAUUUUCAUUCUGUAUGGGCUUUAUUGGGCUAUUCAUUUGUUAUUUAGUUUUAUAUCGGAGCCCUAUAGAUUGAGAGUGAAUUGAUAUAGAAAAUUAGGGUUGUCGUCUUCUUCAGUCUGAAGAUUCCCUGUGUCAACAAUGGAAUUUCAGCAUUUCGAUCGAGUGAUACGAAACGUAACGAAGAAACUUUGGUGUCAAGUUUCGAUGGAGUCGAAUCGUCUAUGAUUCCUAUCUUCUGAGAUGUUACAAGAUGUCUUCAUUCAUCGCCUUUAAGAAGCCUCUUAAUUCCAUUGACGUACAUCAACGAUUUAUCAUUCAAUGCUGCUUAUCCAUCCUAUAGUCGGUGUUUCUCUUCCUAUAAAACGUGUAAUGGUUUGCGAGUUGAUGAGGAUGGAAUGGAUAUGCUCCUCCUUGAUUCAAAGGUUUUACCAUUCUUAAACUCAUGAUCAUUGUAUUUUAAAACUGUUCAUACUUUCAUAUUCAUAAAGUAUGUAACUUUUAUAUUCAGAUCUUUGUUGAAUCUUUUUUGAAUUUGUUUUUUAGCACGGUUUGUUGGUUAUGCGUUCUUCUUCACAUUUGUUUCAGUCAACGCUCCUGCCUGCCACCGUUAAUGUUAACCGUCUCGCCACUUUCCGACACCACUUCAAGGCUGGUUCAAUGUUCACAUUCAGCAGAUUUGAUAUGACUUGGUGCAAUAAGAACUACAGGCUAUCCGAUUCUCCACUAUCCAUUCGGUUUAUGUUAUUCAACCAACUUUCCAUGCGUUAACCAAACCAGUUCUCCAAUCCCGAUUCGGUUUUUCGGGAUCACGAUUUGCUUCUUGGACUAGCCAGUACGGACACGCAUCUUCUAGUUAUUGACGUUCUCCAGGGAAAAGAACGUGUCAUGGCAACUAUCAAACUGGUGGUGAAUCUGUGAUUCCGAGUCUGUUUGACUUACAAGGACGUCUUCUUGAAUGCCAUUUUCCGACAAAGAGACUAAUGCAGGGGAGAACAUUAACUGUGGGAACAUCUUCAAGUGGUCGCAUCUACAAAAGGUGGACGUAAGUGGUAAGAUCGUAUGAAAUCAGCAACUGUGGGAACAUCUUCAAGUGGUCUCACAUCCAAAAGGCUCCAGCAACACCAACUACUAAGGUGGCCAAUAAGGCACGAGUGGCUUAGGUGAAGAUAAUAAAUUACUUGGAUGCAGUACUUUUAGAAUAAUGCUUAUGCAUCGAUGUUGUUUUCUUUUUUCUUUAACCUUUGAGUACUUACUGGGUUUUGAUAUGUUUUCAAAACUAUCUACCAAAUGCUUAUUUAUCAAAUUUAUCACAUCUCAUUAAAUAAAUAAGAUUGGGUUCACAUGCUA